GUCAUCGUGAUGUCAGGUCAUGAGACCAUCCGAGUGCUGGAAGUCGGAGUGGAUGCCCAGCUCCCUGCUGAGGAAGAGAGCAAAGGACUGGAGGGUGUGGCCGCUGAGGGCUCCCAGAGCGGAGACCCUGCUGAAGCCAGUCAAGCUGCUGGUGAAGCUGGGCCAGACAACCUGGGCUCCUCUGCAGAGGCAACUGUGAAGUCACCCCCGGGGAUCCCUCCGAACCCUGCCCCUGCCAUUGCCACCUUCAGCCAAGCCCCAAGCCAGCCUCAGGCAUCGCAGACCCUGACGCCACUGGCUGUACAAGCUGCCCCCCAGGUCUUGACUCAGGAAAACUUAGCCACAGUUCUGACAGGAGUUAUGGUUCCAGCAGGGGCAGUUACUCAACCUCUUCU
rnacentral:sRNA from 1 species